AUUGAACGCUGGCGGCAGGCUUAACACAUGCAAGUCGAGCGGAGAUGAGGUGCUUGCACCUUAUCUUAGCGGCGGACGGGUGAGUAAUGCUUAGGAAUCUGCCUAUUAGUGGGGGACAACAUUCCGAAAGGAAUGCUAAUACCGCAUACGCCCUACGGGGGAAAGCAGGGGAUCUUCGGACCUUGCGCUAAUAGCUGAGCCUAAGUCGGAUUAGCUAGUUGGUGGGGUAAAGGCCUACCAAGGCGACGAUCUGUAGCGGGUCUGAGAGGAUGAUCCGCCACACUGGGACUGAGACACGGCCCAGACUCCUACGGGAGGCAGCCGUGGGGAAUAUUGGACAAUGGGCGGAAGCCUGAUCCAGCCAUGCCGCGUGUGUGAAGAAGGCCUUUUGGUUGUAAAGCACUUUAAGCGAGGAGGAGGCUACCUGGAUUAAUACUCUAGGAUAGUGGACGUUACUCGCAGAAUAAGUACCGGCUAACUCUGUGCCAGCCGCCGCUGUAACAC
rnacentral:rRNA from 1 species